rnacentral:rRNA from 1 species
GGGGAAUAUUGCACAAUGGGCGAAAGCCUGAUGCAGCAACGCCGCGUGAGUGAUGAAGGUCUUCGGAUUGUAAAGCUCUGUCUUUUGGGACGAUAAUGACGGUACCAAAGGAGGAAGCCACGGCUAACUACGUGCCAGCAGCCGCGGUAAUACGUAGGUGGCGAGCGUUGUCCGGAUUUACUGGGCGUAAAGGGUGCGUAGGCGGAUGUUUAAGUGAGAUGUGAAAUACCCGGGCUUAACUUGGGUGCUGCAUUUCAAACUGGAUAUCUAGAGUGCAGGAGAGGAGAAUGGAAUUCCUAGUGUAGCGGUGAAAUGCGUAGAGAUUAGGAAGAACACCAGUGGCGAAGGCGAUUCUCUGGACUGUAACUGACGCUGAGGCACGAAAGCGUGGGUAGCAAACAGGAUUAGAUACCCUGGUAGUCCACGCCGUAAACGAUGAGUACUAGGUGUAGGAGGUAUCGACCCCUUCUGUGCCGCAGUAAACACAUUAAGUACUCCGCCUGGGGAAGUACGAUCG